CCAGGAACAAUAAAAUGGUAUAAUAAUGAUGGUGUCUGACCGGCGCACCACUGUGAGUGGCAAAUACAAGGAACAACCCAAGGGUAGCCUGGAGCUCCUCCCAGUCUUUGAGGGUGUCGAAAACACGCUUUUGUUUUGUCGAGCAGUAUACGCUGGUAAUGUGGCAGGGCUGUGUGGAGACCUUUUCAGCAGGAGGGGCUCAAAGUGAGAAAAGGGCACACCAACAGACAAAGCUGUUUUACCACACCCAGUUAUCGAACAGAAUAGAUUUUACCAAAGUCAAUUAAUUUAAAUUAAGGAGAGCAACGAUAGUACAAACAUAAUUUUUAAAUUACAUUUGUCUGUAACACAGGUUAUGCAAGACUUUGAUUUGCCAUUUUGCCCCUUACACAGGUUAAAAGGAAUACAAUUGUGUAUGAUAAUCUGCUGGCUUUUGUGGUGUCCAUGCCUAAGGUUUGGUAAGAUUGCUGGUACUAUGUGGCCAUGGAGUACCUAGAAUGGCGUUGUAGCAAAAUGGCGGCCAGCGGGAUGGGUGCGGGAUAUCAUCCCGGACAGGCUCCAGCUGUCCUCAUGUACCCUUCUGCAGACUGUCCUGAAGGUGCUGUCCACAUUGAGGGAGAUCGCUUUGGGGAACAGCGUCCCCCGGCUGUACAACACGCCGUGCGAACAGUACAGCGAGGUCUGGAUGCAGCAGAGUCCAUGCAAUACCUCGCCAGGCACAAGCCAUUCCUCGACCCAGGUUCUACACAGCUCACAGUGGCCCCACCCCCACCAUGUACACGGCUGACAGCACCCCUUCUCCCGUUCCUACCGGUGCCAACAUGGCACAGCGCCAAGGAUCACAGGGUGGCAGAGGAAGACAACCGAGGAGACACCCCUGUACAGACCGUGGCAAGGCUAAAUGAAAAGGGUUUGGCCACCGCUGUUUCGGUGGCGUCUGGUUUUGUGCCAACAAGACUGUGGAGGAAUGGCUGGCAGAGAUUUGGGCUGCCAGAUUCACUGGGGAGGGCAGACAAUCCUCAGACACCCCCCAUUCUCCCCCACCCCUAAAAUCAUGAAGCAAUAAAAGAAAAUGUCAGAAUAUAACUAUCUGUAAAUCGUUGAGGUACAUAAGAAUCAUUAGCUCAGAAUUUGACAAUUACAUGAAGUAGUGACAAAAUUCUAUUGUGCAGCCUCUUGUAAGUGAAAUAUUUAGGAUUCCAAUCAGCCUUUAAACUGUGCUCAUGUGCAGUGAUGUCACCCAAGUUAAACUUUAGCCUUCAGCCAUUGUAUUUCAAAUGAGUUAAUCAAUACCAUUACACCAGAGAGAACAGGUUGCAAAAGCUCUGUGUUGAGACUGUUUAAAGGAAUCAAUAAGACACUGAAGUUCUUUAGUACUCAUAAAAGGCCGUUUAGAAUCAGACUGGUACUGAGCCAGCUCUUUUCAGCAAAAUAAUUAGGAGUUGUUUACGUAACAGGUGAGAAUCUCAGGCUACCGCUCUUGCACUUCUGCCAUAUACAGUAUAGCAGUUGGACUCAGAGACUGAUUUACAGUAUAUAUACACAGUACUGUAAUUUGCUAAUUUUGUUAAUUUUUUCAGUGAUCAAAUAAAUAACGAAC